GGUGCCGCCGCCGCGCCUCCAGCCUGGCCCGCGCCUCCAGCCUGGCCCGCACGUCCACCUCCGUCCCGCCGCCUCCACCGCUCUGCCCGCUCCGAGCGGCUCCCGAGGGGCGGUGCCGGCGGCGGGCCGUGCUGCCCGGCCGCGCCCCGACACCUGCUCCGCCCCCGUCGCGGUGGGGAGCUCGGUGGUUCCGGACCUUAUUGUGGAGCGGCCCCGUGACUCGGGCAAAGUUUGGUAUAGUGGGGGUCUGGGGUCUGCGCUUUUCUGCUGCGCUGCUCGGUCUUGUGUUACGCUCCUCUUCCCUCGGAAGUCCCGCUGCCGGAGGUACAAAGGGAAAGGUGGAGGCCCUGCCUUCCACCCCUUCCAGUAGCGAAAGGGGACUGGAGUUUCAUCCUAAAUCAGCGUCCUUCCUUCCUCCUCCUGCCGCAGGUCGGGUGUCAGCCUGCCCCGUACAGCAAUCCCCGCAGGCAUGCAGAAGGUGAUGAAUUCACCGACACGUACAGGAUGGAGAGGGAAAGGUCUUGUGUCGGACCACUGCCGGAGGCAUUGGGUGGGUGCUGCUUUUCCUAGCUGACCCGUACAGGUAGAAGAUAGAGCUAGAAGAGUCAAGUAAGCGCUAAUAGUCCAGUGGGAGACAAAAGGCUUUUCAGAUAUUUUAUACUGGUAUUUUGCGUCACCUCUAGUGAAAAAAAAGCCCAUGUUAGUACUGAAUUAAAUGUUAAUGUAGUUGCGGAGUGAGAAGAAUGCAUCUGACAGCACCAACAUGAUGCAUAUAACAAGGAGACACCGCGGAACGACCUGCGAAGUCAUCCCGCCUGGUGGCUACCUCCUCACGGCAGCUUCCAACUUCUUACAAGCCCUUUAUCUGCGUCUAAGUGCCGCAGACACAUCAUCACCAACACCACCUGGUUCAUCUGCUUUCUGCAUCGGAAGGUGUGAAUUUAACGCUAAUGUCACUUAACAUCAGCAGCACGGAGGAAUAAUAAGACAAGGAUACACCCGGAAAGGUGUUACUGGCAGCAAGCUGGACAGAGUGGGUGUUUGGAUGUGGGAGCAAAUGGGUCUGCUGAUGGGACUAGUGCCAGCAGCCAGCUAUGCUUAAUGAGUGCUGAAGCACCGAGGAACCCACAGCUCCAGAGGAGACAGGGAACACUCAGUGUCCAUGACACUACCUGCCCCAUGCUCUGUCACCUACACAAUUUUAUACUGUAUAUAUUGUAUAAAAUAUUGCUUGUGAUGGUAACGAGGAGCUGGACUGGCAUCUCAGACAGCAUUUCUGUGCUCUCGAUGGCAUGCAUCCUGCUUCCAGCUGCAGGCAUCUGUACUGAGAGGAAAUUGGUCAGCAGAAUAAAGGCUACCUGACUGAACAGAUCUCACAAAACUGUGUGAGCAUACACCUCCCUCCCUUCGCUUGUGUGUGAUUCCUGGUUGUCCAUUUGCACGAUGGCUGCCACAGCAGUUUUAGAUCGUGUGGUAAAGACUGUAAAAGAUUGUGAAGAUAGUGCUACCCUGCUUGUUUGUCCUACCUCCUAUGGCAAUGCUAAGUCAUAAUAUUUAAUGAUAACUUUAAGUUGGUGUCCAACACAUGGACCAUUCUGAACAGCUGUUUAAAAGAAACGGAGACAGCUGGAUUGGAUGAUUCUGUAGCUCAGUAUCCAAGGGCUGUGGCAGAAGGAAUUUGACUGUGCCCAAAUACAGCAUUUGGCAAGUUUGAAGUUCCUACCUUAAAGAACAUAACAACCAAGUUUUUUCUUGCUUCAGGGCUACAUAAAUACGAAAGUUGCAAUUUUGCAAAGCUAAAUGUGUUGUAUUGAGGCCUGCAUCUUACUGUUAUUUACAUUAGAAUUCCAAGGACAAGACAGCCAACGGAUCAGGUUAAAAACUUCUUGUCAGACACCCUCAAAAGAUAUUUUCAACUUAGCAAGAAUAUGCUUUAACUAUUUAGGCUGUAAACAGCUCAGUGGGUGUAUGAGGGUCUUUUCCCCAAAAUGUUCUGUAGCAGUUCUUUCUAAUAAAUAAGUAGAGUAUUUAAAAACAUGUAUAUAUUCAGAGAGAGGGAUUUGGGACUUAAUUUCAAAAAUUCUUUUGUCUCACUUUCAGCACUUAAAUUGCACAGUUAAUUUUAGUAGCUCGUUCACACUGUAUUUCAGAACCCAGGGGAGGAACCAUUACAUCACAGUGAAGUAUUUAAUAGAGUUGUGCCAUCUGCAUUUCAGAGCCUUUGCUGCAAACUGAGUCAAAGACCUUGUAAUUUCAAAAUAAUACUAUUAGAGCCAGGAGGCUUUUGACACCUGAUCUAUCACAGUGGAGUGCAUUUCAAAUCAACACUGCAUACACAGAUUUCAGUUACUGAUUUUGAGUGAAACAGUAAGACAACUAGACAAAACAUUUUUUUUUGUUUUGUUUUUUGAUAAGCUGGCAGCCCAUCAUAUGACAUUUUGUAAACAGGUUAGGUUGGAAUUUGGCAAUGUGAGAAAUUUGGGAAAUACUUUUAUGCCACUGCAGUGAACUAGCAAAGCCAUCUUGUCUCAAAAUAGAACAUCUUUUCCUUUUCACAUAAAAAAUUCUUUUAAUUCUUAUUUUGAAGUGAAUCUAGAGAUGGGAGGUGCAUGUUAGAAGCUGCUAAUUCAUCAAAAUCACCACAAUGACAAAAUGUUGAGGGAAGGAGAUGUGUUAGUUUCUGUUAAAUUUCUGAAAGAUAAUUUAUUUUGUCACUAGUAAAACGUCUUUAUGCAAGUUAGAAAAGGGCAUGCUGAUCUAAAGAAGACACAAGAUACUCUUGCCUGAGACAAGAUGCUGAGAUUCGUACUUACGCUCCGAUUCAGGGAAUACAGCUGCUUCAUCAAGCUUUCCAGCACAUCAAUUAAAUAUCUUGACUCUUUACAGCUCCUCAGGGUGCUCUUCUUUUUCAGUGUAUACUCUGAUCCUCAUGAUAAUUUUGAGAAAGCUUCGUUUUGUUUCAUCUGAUCUUGUCUUUAUUGACAGUCAAAAUGUAUUUUCCAGCCAAAGAGGCUUGAGGUUCAGGCUACACUGUAUUAGAGGCUGUGGCAAAGUACUGCUACAACAGCUAUUCUCUGGAGGAUUCUCACUGAGAGACUGCAGCAGAAAACACAAGGCAAGAAACAAAGUGGAUGGGGUAAAGAAUAGGUGAACAAUGAAAUGUUCCAUUGCAAAAUAGGAUCUAACCAUGCAAUUGUUGUUUCCUAUUUGUGGUAUUAAUUGCUGCUGGAUACGGGUCUCAGUAACAAACAUUGAUGCAAGUCCCGGAGCACCAGCAAUAUUAUCUCUUCUGAGUUAAAAAUCAGGACAUUUCUCUCUGGAGCAGGAGUUGCUGAACUACAGUUUUACCCCAUUAGCAUUCAAUUGUCUUAAUUAAAAAAAAAAAUCAACUUGUGAAAAGAAAGACAAACUCAGAAAGUAAAACAGUAUUUAACUAUGGUGAAACAGUGCAAAAGUUUUCAGCAUCACUGGGCGGCUGGGAAUUGACCAUAUUAUUCAACAGAAACCAUAACACAUUGUAACUAAAUGCCUCUAAUACUACACAUAAGGCCUAAAAACAGAACAACAACAACAACCCCAAAACAUUUAAAUACAUAGAUGUUCACAUAAAAUAUUUUAUUUCUUCCAAGGUUUAUAUACAUGUAUUCCUACAUUUACUUCUUUUAAAUGAUCAGAAGUGCUUUCUGAAUGGUGUUUGUCACAUCAAAAUCUUUGUUUAAUACUUGUAAUUGGGCAUUUUCUCAUUUAAUUGAGAGGACUUUCAAGGAUGAUUUCUAUCCUCCAUUUUUCUCAAUCUGGAAAAGUUUCAUUGCACAUAAAGAUACUUCUGUAUGUAUUUGUUCAUAAAUAUGGUACUGAAGAAUUCGAAUUUUUCAGAAAGGUGGUUUUCUUUCCUGUUCUCUGGUUCUAGCCUAUUAAAUAGGAUUGAAUAUAUAAAAUUUAAUUAUAAAAUAUGGAAGAUUAUAAUGUGGAAACAUAUUCUUUGUCAACUUAUUUUUUAAUAUAAGCAACAAAUAUUUUAGUACCUUGCAAAUAGGGUUAGCUCUUGGAAAUCUUGUAAACUUUUUCACCAAAGAUAUAAUGCUGUCCAAUUUCUAUUGAACUAUAAGGAUUUGUAGUUUUGGUCAUCAAAUAGCCAAUAUUUGGAGCAUAGCAGCCACAAAGAAUAUCAAAUCUCAAAGUCCCUCUUUACUCUCUGAGAGGAAGAGAGAAGAGAGAAAGUGGAAGAUGGUAGUGCUACGCAAGCAUACAUUUUAUAAAAAUAUUUUGAUCAUUAAUCUUAGACAAAUUUAUGAAGUAAAAUGCAGAUUUUUAACUAUUUGUACAUACAGGCAAGAAAGUCCCAUUCACACCUGGAAAAACAUCUUCUUCAACCUAGACUAGCUUUAAAUUCAUUUUUACAAGUCUCCAAUUAAUACAAGAAUAUUUGUAGCUGAAAUGCAAAAACAAACAAACAACAACAACAAAAAACACAACAAACCUUUAAACCUGAAGAAAAUUCACAUUCUGUUAGAUGAACAGAAAAGAAUUGUACUUCAGUGCCAAGCAUUGCUAACUUAUACACAUGUCACUUCUGCUCUGGCAACUAAAAUCCCUAGAGAUCAAAGAGGUGGCCCAACCUACCAAUCCUUUAGAGACACUUUUUCCCCUCCUGAACAUUUGGAUCAGCCGAUAUUGUUUUUCCUUUGUCACAAAUAUGAAAAAUAAACAAUUUGAACUGAGAUGCAAUGAACCAGUCAUCAGAGAUAACAGAAAUGACUGCCUUACUUUAUCUAGUAUAAACUCUCGAAUCUGAAUUUCCACACUGAGAACUGCACAAGAGAGAUUUGCUGCAUCUGCCCAGUUCGUAUUAUCUAGAUCCCUUAUUGAAAAAAAAAAAUUAAAAAAAAAAGAAAAAAGAAAAAUGAAAAAAAAAAAGAUCCACAAGUUCUACCAUGUUUGGUUUGAAUUGUAAACACAGCAUUCCUUUGUUAAGGAAAAAUUAAUUAUGAUUUUAGAAAAUCUGGAACUCAAUGGCUCCAGCUCUUACCCAGCAGUCAUCCCUGUCUCCCAAAGAUUUAUUCUUUUAAUCUUUCUUAGUUCCUGCAAAAUUUAGUUUUUAUUCUUUCCACAGUUUCUUCUCUCCCCCAGAUACGAUUUUUACUUUAAGGAAAAACAUGUUUGAUUUCCCCCUGACCCACAUUUCUUAGCCUAUUUUCCUUGUUGGAAAUGAAACUUCUGGAAGACCAAGCUCUCAAAGCAAACACAGUAUUUCUUAAAGUCCAUUUUUUAAAAAAAUAAUAUUUUUAAAUAAUUUCUAGGGUCUAGCUGUUUGAAAGAUGGACGCAUACCCUGGGGAUGUCCCUUGCCAAAUAAAGAAAGUUUUGUCUCUUUAUGGCAAAGGCACGCACCUAAUUUAAGCUUCUCUUGUUCACAUCAUUUUGAAGAUGAAGAUUAAUCAGUGUAGAGGGUUGAGGAGGAUUUUUUUUCCAUGAAAAGAAAAAAUGUAUGUAUAUAUAUACAGAGAAUUCCCAUUAGAAUGGGAAACAGAAUGAUGAUCAGAGAUUACUCUUAAUUGGAGAACCAGAGAAAGUAACAAGAAAUAUCAUCAAAGACUGAGAAAACGAAAGGGAGGAGAUAAGCUGAUUUAAAAAAGACAGAAAUACUGUGCUGCGGAGGAGAAAUAUUAAUAAAUUAUUAGGUGGGGAUGACUUGAGGAUACCACAGUGUGGCUUUAUGUAGGAGAACAGAGAUUACCAUGGUUGGAGUGUCAAGCAGCCACUGCAGUAGAUUUUGAUAAAACAAAUGUAAAGAGCCCACAACACGUAGGAAAUAUGGCCUAAUUAGGUUUGUUGCUCACAGAGGAAUUUUGUUUUAAAUUACAUUUUAAUACAGAUGUUUUGAAAAUGUAAAUUUAAUACUUCUUUAAAAAUCUACUUACUGAUUGUAAAAGAAGGCAAAACAAAUAUUUCCCCUUACUGUGAUCUUCAAGUAGGUAUUAUCCAUUCACAUGCAUUAACACUUUGAGCAUUUGCAAGAAAUAUACACUUAGCUAGCAAUUUUAUAGACUAAAACUAUCAUGCAUAAGGCUGGAUAAAGUUGGUGAUAUCACCUAUAAUAAGAACAAUAGAUAUUUUAUACAGUACAGAGGAUCGGUGUUUACUAGAGUGGAUAUGACAUCAGUAUUCUUUCUGAGCUUUAAACACUUUCUGUAUUCAGUUUGCAGCUUUGUUUUGAUCUCAUCAUUCCUCAUUUCCAUCCACUUUAAAACGUUGCCCAUUGUGUUCAUUAUUUUAAGAUGCUAUUUUCUUUAUGUAUGUUUUUGUUUGAUUCAGGGUUGCUCUUACAGAAAGGAAAAAGAGCAGCUCCAGGAAGCCAGAUACAAACCACUUUGUUAUGAACCAAGGAACAGUUCCUGCAGCUUGUUUUAACUGCACUAAUCAUAUUAAUUUGCAAUAUCUGAAACUUCAGAAAUAAGAACAUGGGACCAUAAUUCAUAAAGAAUUUCAUUUACAUCAAUCAUCAUUACACCAAAAAUGUCAGUACAGGAGCAGCAGGAUUUACAGUGCAUUUGUAAGGCUUUGUAUUAUUUAAUACAAAUGUACUUGAUGUACAGUCCAAGUAAACAUACCAAGAAGAGAGUUCACUUAAAAACAACACUAUUUAUUGAGUUGGAGUCAUAUGGACAUUCAUCACUAAGGUUAUGAAUAAAUGCUUUUGAAAGUAUAUUCUACUGUACAUAGUAGCAAUUACUGUGUUUGUUUGCUGUCUGACAAAAAAAGUUUCCUCCCAUCUUUGAUAUCUCUGACAUGUUAUAUGGUCUCUUCAGUACACACUGACAAAGGAAAAGAAAGUUUUUUUUACUGAAAGGAUAUUUAUAAUAUCUUUAAUACUUUUACCCGGUAGUGAAAUUUUAAAUUGGUUUCACAGUGGUUUGUAAGAAACAGAUGUGUGUUGUUGGCAGACAACCAGACGUAAAAUGAGAGGUGGGUAUUUGUGUAAGAAAAUAUCAGAUUUUCUUCCUGAGAUUUAAACACAGGUGAUUAUUUUUCAUUCAGCACCAUGGAAGUUGGCUGGAAUAGUGGAGAACCAAAGCCUGAAUUUAUCUAAAUAAUAUAAGGUGUUCUAGUAACUCGGGAAGUCCUUUUUCACAACAGUCUCUCACUAAGAGAAAAAUACCCUGAUCAGAGAGUUUAUAUUUACUAACACCCGUGAUUUGACAGCCUUUUAUCUCAGUGCUGUUCUUUGAAAGAUAUCCUGAUUGACUGGCUGAUUGAUCGACAGCCUCUUUCCUACAUGGCUGUAUCUUGUCGUCUCUUAAUCCACACACAAAUGAUCAAAACACAUGGUGUUAAAACAUGUGCACACAGCAUUGAAUCAUACUGAGAACUAAUGCAGCAACGUUACUGUAAAAAAGCGUGGUUUGUUUCCACUGGGCAAUGUUGAGAAUGUGGUUAAUCUCAGCAGGCAGCUCAGAACCACCCAGUUGGUUGCUCACUUCCCACAAUGGGAUGGAGGAGAGAAUUAGAAAGGAAAAACUGUGAAAACUCCUAGUCUGAGGUAAAGAUGGUUCAAAAGCUGCACUUGCAAGCAUACCAGAACAAGUUCAUUCAUUCAUUCAUUUCUUCCCAUCAGCAGGCAGAUGUUCAGCCACUCCCAGGAAAGCAGGGCUCAUCAUGCCCAAUGGUUUAUUUGAAAAACCAUUUUCAUCAUGCCCAACAUCAUCCCCUUCCUCCAUUCUUUCUCCAGCUUUUAUUGCUGACCAUAAUGCCAUAUGACAUGGAAUAUUCCUUUAGCCAGUUGGGGUCAGCUGUCCUGGUUCUGUCCCAUUCCAACUUAAUGUGCACCCUAGCUGCACACUGGCAGGGCAGUACAAGAAGCUGAAAGAUCGUUGGUUCUGUGUAAGCAAAACCUAAAACAUUACUGUGUUAUCAACAUUACUUUCAUAACAAAUCCAAAAUACGGCAUCAUAUGAACAAAAGUAGGUCUAUCCCAGCAAUGACAUGUGUAUAAUAAAUUAAGAAACAAAUACACAGUUCAACUUUCUCCUAAAUUAGAGAGAGAUGGGUUUGAAGGGUGGACUAUUUGGUGGAUAAGGAAUGGUUGGAUGUUUACAGACAGAAGGUUAUGGUCAGUGGCUAUAUGUCCAGGUAGCGGCCAGUGACAAGCAGUGUUCCCCUGGAGUUCAUCUUGGGACAGGUACUCUUCAACAUCUUUAUCAGUGAAAUAGACAGUGGGACUUAGUGCACCCUCAGCAAGUUUGCAGACUACACCAAUCCGAGUGGUGCACUUGGUACAACAGAAGGAAGGGAUGCCAUCCAGAUGGACCUGGAUAGGCUUGAGAAGUGGGCCCACAUGAACUAAAACAAGUUCAACAAGGCGAAGUGCAAGGUGUUGCACUUGUGUUGGUGCAAUCCCAGAAAUGUGUGCAGACAGGGAGAAGAUCUCAUUGAGAGUAGCCCUGUCAAGACAAUCUUGGGGAUUCUAGUGGACAAAAAACUUGACACAAGCCAGUAGUGUGUACUAGCAGCUCAGAAUGCCAUCUGCAUCCUGGGCUGCAUCAAAAGAGAGGUGACCAGCAGGGUGAGGAAGGUGAUUUUCCCCCUAUACUCUGCCCUCAUGAGGCUGCAUCUGGAGUACUUUGUCCAGUCCUGGGGCCUCUUGUGCAAGAAAGACAUGGAGUUAUUGGAAUGGGUCCAGAGGAGACCAUGAAGUUGAACUGAGGGCUGGAGAACCCCUAUUGCAAAGAAAGGCUGAGGGAUCUGGCCUUGUUCAGGCUGGAGAAGAGAAAGUUUCAGGGAGGUCUUACUGUGGCCUUCCAGUAGUUCAAGAGGGCCUACAGUAAGGAUGGGAAGGGACUCUUUAUAGGAAUGUACAGUGACAAGAUAAGCAGUAGAGAUUUUAAACUAAAAGAGGAGAGAUUAAGAUUAGAUGUGAGGAAGUUCUUUGUUCAUACAGUGGUGAGACCCUAGCACUGGCUGCCCAGAGAAGCUGUGGAUGCUCCAUUCCUGAAGGUUUUCAAGACCAGGCUGGGUGUGGCUUUGGGAAGCCUCAUCUAGUGGAAGGUGUCCCUGCUCAUUGCAGGAGGUUGGAAUCAGAUGAUCUUUAAGGUCCCUUCCAACCCAAACCAUUCUGUGAUUCUAUGAUUUCAUGAUCUGUAAUUCAAUAUAUAACCAUAUAUCAUUAUGAAAUCUUGCACCAUCUUUCAUUUAAUACCUAAAUACUUCAUCAACUCUUGCAAAACCAGUAGAAACAGAAUCACUUUUCUCCUUGAUUUUGUAUAGUCAAUAUCUUCCUUUUUUCCAUGAAUCAAUCACUGAUAGAAUUAAAUCUACAGGAAAAGAAGAUUAAGAAAAAAUUAUUCAAUAAAAACUAAAUUAUUCAUAAGAGGGAGGGGCAUCAUGUGAUAGAUCGAUCAGCAGUUAAAAUUUUCAAUAUCAAUCAUGGAUUUUCUGAAGUUAGAACUUGGUAAAAUUAGCUCCCAAGUCUUUGCACAAGACAUAUUUGUGUUUGAAAGCACUCUGUCUUCAACAAUACUUAGAAGCAAAAGAUCCUACCCAAACCAUCUACAAUAAUACAACGAUUCUUCAGCAGGAACACCACCAACUCAACAAAACCUAAUUACCGAUUCAACAAUUUUUAAGGAUCACCUCCAAAAUACUUGACUACAGCUGAAGUGGCAAUUCUUAUAAGUUUCUGAUAGUUUAUAUUAAAAAAGAAGAAAUGAAAAAGCACACCUUAACACCAUUAUUCUCCUCUUGUACUUUCAUUUUUGUCUAUUUGCACUUCUGCUUACCAACUGGAAUGUCUUUUCCUCCAUGGUUCUUUUUAGAACCACAAGUCAUGUGGUUGGUAAACUUCUGUUGAAAAACACGGGAUAUUUUUCCUUUCUUGAUGAUGCAGCAGCCAUUCUUAAAAUACUUUCUAAUGUUUAUUAAAAUGUGUCUUAACUUUUUUUUCCUACAGAUUUCUAUUUUUUUAAAAAAGUACACUGCAUUUGUUAUCAAAGGGCAAUUAACACUGACUGUCGUUGCAUUUUCUUGUCUUCUUGUGCAGAAAGAGAAAAAUCACAAUAUUGGCUUCUGCAGCAGAGAUAAGACCUAUCUGUCCCUUAUUUUCUCUUGCUAUUCUACCCGUGAGUGAAAAUAUGUAAGAAAUGCCAAUCAUUCCUACCAGAAGCAUGAAGAAUCACAUACCAUGUACUUUGUUUUUGCUGCUUAGUUCUCAUCAAAAAUUAUUCAGAGGAUCUACUUGUUUAGAAAUACAGUUGCUUUCAUUUAGCUGUUAGGUAUGUAAAAAGUCAGCCUGAACUGGAAGAAAAUAAGAACUGUGAAGUACCGAGAUGUGACCUGAGAUCUCCAUCUGUCUUUCAAAACCUUUGGAAUAUAUCUAAGAUUAUGUUUUUGGAGUUGUUACAAGAUGUACAUAAUACAUCAUUUGCAGAUCCAUUUUUGAGGACCACAGAGCAGUUCCAAAUAAGUUGUUAACUGGUAGUCAUAUAAUUCACAUGUUUAAAUAACAUUUUAUACAUACAGGUAAACAUUUUAACAUAAAUACCUCCAGUUCUUUUCUCAUCUUUUAAAAGCUUGAAUUCUACUGUCAUAACUUUCUAAACCAAACUGACUCACAGGCUCCUAACCUGGAAAUGUUCUCACCAUGUUAAGAGCAGACUGUCCAUAUCUGGUUCCUCUGCCUCUUCCUUCUGCCCACCAUAUGCUGCGACACUCUCCCAUGGUGCAAAUUAAGAAAUUGCUCCUUCCUCAAACCUGACACUAAUGUUUUAUUUAUAUAUUGAACAACUACAUGUGAAUUAUCCUCUGAUUCUUCGGGAGAUCUGGAGAUGCUACACUUAAAGUAGUCUGAACACUGCUUUCCUAUUUAGUUGUUAUCAUGAGACUACGUCACUUGUACAUGUAGUUCAAAAUAAGAUAACUCUAAUGGUACAAGACAAAUUGGUUCAGUGUUUAGGAAAAAAGCUAGAGACCAAUGCUACUACUGCUGAGUGUCUGUGUGAUGGUUUACAGCUCAUCAGGCACACAGCUGAUUAGCACUGCUAGAGUGUGCCCUCCAGUGCAGUCACGGACCCACCUGGAUUAACCCAUGGGUGGAGAAAGAAGCAGUGUCCCAAGCCCUACUCCUGAAUACAGAGACCUCCUGAUGUGCAGAUGGUGCACUCAAAUAUGAUGUACUCCACAGGGCUCUCCAGGGGCAUCGCUGAAACACACUGAUCAGACAGGACGGUCACCUCCACACAAGGGCUGUUUGUCAUACUGCAGUCACUGAGGGAUGCUGUGACAGAAAUGUCUGCUGCAGAGUGCAUAAGUGAGAAGUAAAGGUCAGAAAACCAGGGUGCUGUAGUGUGUUCUCAAAUCACGCUGGUCCAGACAACAGACAUGCAUCCUAUGUACAUCUAUUCUUUUUUGUAAAUGGGAAUGAUAUUGAUUCUUCAAUGGGCAAAGAUCUUUGCAGUGUAAUGCAUGCACGUGAAACUCUCAGAAGCAGCAGUAAAAUGGAGAAUUACCUUCACAUAGAUAUUUAUUAUAAAAUUAUUAGAAGGACUGAAGUGAUACGGGAGGAGAAACAUUGUCAGCAAUAUCAAACACUGAAGUGAAAGUAUUGUCUAGCAAGUCACAUUAACUAGACAUCUAUUUCAAUUUAAUGAGAAAUUAAACAAUGUGAAUCCUCAGCACCUCCUUAGAAAUGCACUUAACAUAUUGGGUUGAAUUCAGGAUGAAACUCAUGAACCUUUUGUUAGCACUGAAAUAUUACUGGUCCAAACCAUAUUUUGAACUAUGAAGAAAGCUUAUUUUUAUAAGGUUAUCUGUGCUCUUUGAGAUACUUCUAUUUUUGCAGAAGAAAACCUGACAGAUCCAGUCACUAGUAUCAAUAUCUUUUUCUCUGUCCAACUAUUUUAUAUGUAUGAUUAAAGUAUUUCCAGUUAA